rnacentral:rRNA from 1 species
CACAUGCAAGUCGAGCGGUAGAGAGAAGCUUGCUUCUCUUGAGAGCGGCGGACGGGUGAGUAAUGCCUAGGAAUCUGCCUGGUAGUGGGGGAUAACGUUCGGAAACGGACGCUAAUACCGCAUACGUCCUACGGGAGAAAGCAGGGGACCUUCGGGCCUUGCGCUAUCAGAUGAGCCUAGGUCGGAUUAGCUAGUUGGUGAGGUAAUGGCUCACCAAGGCGACGAUCCGUAACUGGUCUGAGAGGAUGAUCAGUCACACUGGAACUGAGACACGGUCCAGACUCCUACGGGAGGCAGCAGUGGGGAAUAUUGGACAAUGGGCGAAAGCCUGAUCCAGCCAUGCCGCGUGUGUGAAGAAGGUCUUCGGAUUGUAAAGCACUUUAAGUUGGGAGGAAGGGCAGUUACCUAAUACGUGAUUGUUUUGACGUUACCGACAGAAUAAGCACCGGCUAACUCUGUGCCAGCAGCCGCGGUAAUACAGAGGGUGCAAGCGUUAAUCGGAAUUACUGGGCGUAAAGCGAGCGUAGGUGGUUUGUUAAGUUGGAUGUGAAAUCCCCGGGCUCAACCUGGGAACUGCAUUCAAAACUGACUGACUAGAGUAUGGUAGAGGGUGGGU